CCCUGGUUACCUCAGUUGGAAGAACGCUCCCUAGAAAUGGAGAGAUCCUUGGUUCGAUACCAGGACCAGGCG
rnacentral:tRNA from 1 species